UAAGCCAAAGAAAAAGGGAAAAAGAAUAGAAACAAACCUUGAGGAAGAAAAUUCAAGAGAAAUUCAUCGAUUUUCGAAAAAUGAAGCGAUCUGAGGUGGUGAGCCCUUUAGUAAGGUUAAGGAUAUCGUACCCGAGGACCAGGAGUAGGAGUACUCCCAUUAUUGUUCAGCGCAGUCUGUAGACAGUUAAUUUUGUCGAGGGUUUGCUUUUGGAUUUGCACCCUCAGAAAUCAUAGGUCUACAGUCUUGUUUAUUUUUGUUAUUUUGGAGCUCACAUGUCAUUGUAGAAUAUUUUUGUAUA